rnacentral:rRNA from 1 species
AUUGAACGCUGGCGGCAUGCUUUACACAUGCAAGUCGAACGGUAACAGGCCGCAAGGUGCUGACGAGUGGCGAACGGGUGAGUAACGCAUCGGAGCGUGCCCAGUCGUGGGGGAUAACGCAGCGAAAGCUGCGCUAAUACCGCAUACGAUCUAUGGAUGAAAGCGGGGGACCGUAAGGCCUCGCGCGAUUGGAGCGGCCGAUGUCAGAUUAGGUAGUUGGUGGGGUAAAGGCUCACCAAGCCAACGAUCUGUAGCUGGUCUGAGAGGACGACCAACCCCACUGGGACUGAGACACGGCCCAGACUCCUACGGGAGGAAGCAGUGGUGAAUUUUGGACAAUGGGCGCAAGCCUGAGCCAGCAAUGCCGCGUGCAGGAAGAAGGCCUUCGGGUUGUAAACUGCUUUUGUACGGAACGAAACGGUCUGGGUUAAUACCUCGGGCUAAUGACGGUACCGUGAGAAUAAGCACCGGCUAACUACGUGCCAGCAGCCGCCGCGGUAA